UGCAGUCAGCUGCGAGGGCAGAGGCUGAGGAAGGCGCUUCCAGGAAGCGGAGCUCGCAGGGGAGGAGUGCCGCCGCCGAGCGAUGACUCAGCCCGCGGCUCGGUGAGCCCAGCGCGUCGCUCGCGUGUUUGUCACGUCAGCGGCGAGGGCCGGCUCCCGAGGAGGAAACCUCUCAGCCGGCUCCUGCUGCGGGCUUGCGUCAGAGCCGCCUCGUAAACACAGCUCGCCGGGCAUUGUGCGCCGGUGCCAGGGCUGCAAAGGCUGGCACGCGCUUCGGGAAAGUCAAGACGCUGACACUAUGUUUGUGCUCCCCAGGCUUGUGCAACAGUGGAGUGGCUAAGAAAAGACUGUGUGAGAAGAUUUUGUGGAAUCUUAGCCAGAAGUGACUUCUUUUCAAAGAGAAUGAAAUCCAUUGAGAACAUCUGCAAUGUUGAGAAGCUGUCUCAAGUGGGGUGUCCUUUACAACAUGUCUCAGAAUCUCUGUGUCAGCAACCCAAACCCUGAUCCUUGUUACCUUCGUGGCAUAUUUUACUGUUGUUCACGUGUCCCUGACAUUAUUCUAGUAAUUGUGCUGACAUUUUCUCUUUUAAAGCCAGGUUUUAAUUUUCAGGUAAAUACUCGGCAAAAAUGAUGGUAAUUGCUCAAUAUAACACUCUACAAAGAUCAAUCUAUGUUGACCUUAUGUGGCCUAAUUUCCAAAGGCAUUGUCAGUCACUUACAUGUGUGGUCUGCUCAAGUGUAGUCAUAAAUAUAUGGCAUUGUUUUAGACUUAAUAUAGUAAUAUGCCUCAGCAAGUCACAGUUCCAUAAGUGCUAAGACAUUUCUGACUCCAGCAUUACUAUCUCCUUGUUUGUAAAGGAGGAGACAGAGACACGCAGUGAUUAAGGGAUUAGGCCAAGGUCAUACACGAAGUGCAUGCCAGCUAGUGUUAGCUUUUGGGUAAUUUUCUAGCUGACUGAAAAAUAUGUACUUUGCACAAGCAUGGGGAAUGGGAGUUGUUUUCACAAGUUUCACAAAACGCUCAGUGUGUGAAAGCAAUUUCUUCAAGCAGCUACGACAGUCAAGCUCCAUUACUUGUCACUUCAAUAUAUUCCAUCACUUGCCUUCCCCUUCUGGCUGCACUAAUCCAUGUAAAGUUCUCCUUCUUCAGAAGUCUUAGGCCCAGCACCAAUGGAAUGAUGGACAUGGGCUGGAAACUUGGGGGUCUGAACAAACCUUUGCUGUGUGAAAACUCAAAUGAAUGUCAGUAAUUCCAUACAAAUGCAAUUCUGAUGUCUUUCUUAUCUGCUAAGUGCACUCUUGCUUGCUAGUGAUUUCCUUCUUAGUAGGUAUUAAAGAACAGCCACUUUGGAAGAAGCAGUUCUAGUCUGGAUCAGUGCUGCACACAGAGGGAGUCUGAAACAGUAACUUCAGGGGUACCACUUGCUGUGCU